rnacentral:rRNA from 1 species
UACGGAGGGUGCAAGCGUUAUCCGGAUUCACUGGGUUUAAAGGGUGCGUAGGAGGGCAGGUAAGUCAGUGGUGAAAUCUCCAAGCUUAACUUGGAACUGCCGUUGAUACUAUCUGUCUUGAAUACCGUGGAGGUGAGCGGAAUAUGUCAUGUAGCGGUGAAAUGCUUAGAUAUGACAUAGAACACCAAUUGCGAAGGCAGCUCGCUACACGAAUAUUGACUCUGAGGCACGAAAGCGUGGGGAUCAAACAG